rnacentral:rRNA from 1 species
CGCGCCCGUCCCGCCGCCCCCGCCCGCCUACGGGAGGCAGCAGUAGGGAAUCUUCCGCAAUGGACGAAAGUCUGACGGAGCAACGCCGCGUGAGUGAUGAAGGUUUUCGGAUCGUAAAACUCUGUUGUUAGGGAAGAACAAGUACAAGAGUAACUGCUUGUACCUUGACGGUACCUAACCAGAAAGCCACGGCUAACUACGUGCCAGCAGCCGCGGUAAUACGUAGGUGGCAAGCGUUGUCCGGAAUUAUUGGGCGUAAAGCGCGCGCAGGCGGUCCUUUAAGUCUGAUGUGAAAGCCCACGGCUCAACCGUGGAGGGUCAUUGGAAACUGGGGGACUUGAGUGCAGAAGAGAAGAGUGGAAUUCCACGUGUAGCGGUGAAAUGCGUAGAGAUGUGGAGGAACACCAGUGGCGAAGGCGACUCUUUGGUCUGUAACUGACGCUGAGGCGCGAAAGCGUGGGGAGCAAACAGGAUUAGAUACCCUGGUAGUCCACGCCGUAAACGAUGAGUGCUAAGUGUUAGAGGG